rnacentral:lncRNA from 1 species
GGCCGAGCAGUGCUGCAUUAUUUAUUAGUCCUAAUACGUAGUCUUGUUUAUUAGUAGUAUUAGUGCUGCAUUAUUCAUUAGUAACAAGUAUUUUUUAUUUUAUUUUAAUUAGGUAUUCGUCUUCCGGAGGUGUGGCCGUGCUUAUCUCAUGAGGCAAAGAACAGCGAGUCUUCUGUCAAGUUAAGAGCGCAGUCCUAAGCAUACCUACUCAGGGGUAAGUCUUACUGCAUUUCAGCGGGGCUUACUCCCAGGUUAAUGGGGUAGGAUGCCUAACACAUUUAUUCAGGCAUAAGAAUAUUGUUAUUAUUCCCUUCCAGAGGCGUGGCCGCGUUACGUUCUUGCAGCUGAAAACAACAAGUGGUGUGACAUUUUAAAGGUGCCGGCCUAACUAUGUCUGCUAAGAAGGGUAAGUCCUAUUGCAUUUAAUAGGGCUUACUCUCAGAUAAGGCUGCACAACACAUUUACUCAGGCAUAAGGUUAUUAUUAUUGCCAACCACCGUUUUAUUGUGUUUACAUUAGUAACCCUGUUCCACAGUAGUUAUUCAUUAAAAACAUGUAAUAUAAACAUUAAAACAGAUUAAAUGUGACAACUCCCACACCCAGAUGAUUAUGAUUUAUUGAUUCGGCUUGCAUCCCACUCUUCCAUUUGAGAGCUCAGAACAUCUUCAGUGAAUAUUAUCAUUACUCAUCUUCCAGAGGUGUAGCCAUGAUAAGUGAUUGCAGCCCAAAAUGGGUCUUGUGGCAACUAAAAAGUGUUGUCUUAACCAUGCCUACUCAGAAGUUAGUCUUAUUGCUUUCAAUGGGACUUAUUCCCAGUUAAGUGGUUAGGAUGCCUAUUGCAUUUAUUACGGCAUAAGCUCUGCCUCAUUUAUAUGUAUGAUGUGGGCGUUGUUAACAGGAAGAACAGAAGUAUCUGAAAUGCUGACAAUCACGUUAUUGACAGUGGCCAUUCACACAUGCAAAGCAACAGUUCCUCUUGAUAACACAGACAUCUUUUUGGCAUUGGUGUCAAUGAACAGCUAGUACAAUUAAAAAGCAAAACAUUGUGUUGAUUCAGUCCGCAAGUGACGGCACUGAAUCUGCAGCGGUUUCAAGGUGCAGUCUCUUUUUGAAGUUCAAGGGUUUCUGCCUUAAGUUCAGUUGCCUUUCACAGCAUCCUGGGAGGUUGAAAUAUUUUUGCGCUGGGGAAACAAGGCCUAGGGAAUUAACUGGUCCCACAGGUUCUUUGGGUAGCAGGGCUUCUGGGACCAGCCCACCUUCCCGUCCCCUCCUGCAUAUGCCCUUUCCCUUAUAAAUCAGGGUCCUUGGCUCAUCACCUGUGUAAUGUUUCUGGGUCAACAACAGAUAUAAAAAGGAGAUAUAAAGAUAUAAUUAGGAGUAGUUUUUAUAAACAAGCUUUAUUCAGAGUAGUCUCCAAGACCCUCUGCUGGAACUGAAACUCAAGGCCUAAGGAACGGCCCGGUGUCCUGUGACUCCAGAGUAAGUCAUCAGAUUGCCAAGCCUUUAACCUUGAAUAAGUUAUAAAAUGUGAACAAAAAAUGAAAUGAUUUUUUAAAGAACCCAUAAGAUUAUUACUAUAGACAUAUAUGUUGUUUCUGCUGCAUGAACUGCAUAGACACAGAUGUAUCUACUAUGGAACUCCAGUUGCUUUCACUAGUCUUUCUUGCUUUUGCUACAUCAACAUACAACUCAUGUGAAAUAUCUUCAACAGUGUGCACCUGAUUUUUCUUUCUUUCUCUGGCUUGGUAACACAUUGCAAAAUUAUUCCCACAGUUAAAACAGCUCCCCCCCCCCCAUGCUCAACGGUUUAGGACCAUGCGGCAUUCCACAUUUUUUUGCAUGGUUCUUUCUUUUGUAUUCUUAUUAUAUUUUAAUUUAUACCCUGCCUUUUUCCCUGACAGAAUUUUAGGUGGCCUCUUCUCACAGUGAGAGAAGCUAUUUCCACUUUUGAAACUAGCUUCCUUAUACUCUGCUCCUUAAUAUGCAGAGUAUGGACAAUAUUUCUGGCCUGUGCUUUUACAGUUCCUGAGGACCUGCAAAUCUGAAUAGUUUUGUCCAGGGGCAGAUCCCUCUCAUGCAACAGCUGCUCUCGGAGGACAUUGUCUUUGAUGCCACAGAUUUAUUUAUGUUUAUUACAUUUAUAUGCCACCUUUAUAUUCUAAGCAUAUCAACAUGGUGCACAUGGUUCUCCUCCUCCCAUCCUCACAACAACCCUGUGAGGCAGGUUAGGCUAAGAUGAUAACUGGCCCAAGGUCACCCAGUGAGCUUCAUGGCUGAGUGGGGAUUUAAACCCUAGUUUCACAGGUCAUAGUCCAGCACUUUAACCAUUGCGUCAGUUCCCUUCAUUGGUCAUUUUGUACCUUACAGCUUUGGCCAAAUCAAUCACUGUUUUGGGAAAUGUAAAGCUAGGCACUGUAACAUCAACAUAGCUUCCUUACAUUGUCAUAACUUGGAGUUAUUCUGGCAUAUGGGGCUCAGCAGCAAUCAUAUCCUGCCAAUAUAACUUGGGGAUAGAAUUGCCCCAUACAUAGGAGCCAACUCCUAGGGGCUGAGGUCCCUUCCCCCCAUAAAAUAUUUGAGGGCCCCCACAAAGUUAAUGGGCAUUGUCAUUCAAAUAGUGUGUGUGUUGCAUCAUGUGAUCGAUUAUGCAGGGCUUACCUGUCCCCACCCUCAUGUUUUAUCCAAGUUGGCACCCCUGGUUCCAUAUAUUAGUUAAACCAUACUGGGUGCAAAACAGAUUGCAGAUUGCACCCAGGGCUGUUGGGACGAAAAACAAAUUGUGUCUGUUCCCCCAUUUAAAAAUAAAAGCCAGAGUUGUUUGGGAAAGCAAGUCCCCUAUGCAGCAGAGAGCAGAAGUAAAGAGAUAUGUGGUAGUCGUUAUAUUGGCAGAGAUGAGGUAUAAAUUUAGCUGCUGCCCUAGUCAAGAGAAGCCAAAUUGCCUAGCGAGUCUUAGUGUUUAACCCACCUAACCUGCAGAACCUGGAUCCCAUCUUUAUAUAACAAAAAAAUCAUCUCCUACCUCACCCCCGUGGCACACACCUAACUCUGCAUAGGACCAGAAAGCACACUGAUUUCAAUUAAAGACUUACAUGUAUGUUUCUGACUCCCAUCUUCUCUGCACGCUUACCUGGGAUGAGCCUCAUUAAGCUCAAGUAAACAUGCCUAAGCUUGGGCUAUUCUUUCUCACACUGAAAUCCAUUGAGCACUAGAAGUGCUCUGCUUUGGCCUUUAAAGAUGGAGAAAGGACUGGCCAUGCCAUUUCAGAAAUAAAACAUGCACAUUCCUUCAUUUCUUAACAUGUGUUCGUGUGGAAAGGAGUGAGGCCCAGGUUGUGAAUUUGUGAGGAGCCCCGCAAAAUACUCAUUGGGUCCUGCAUAGGCCUGUAGCUGGGGGCGGGGGGGUAACCCCCUGAAUAAUUAAAUUUGUUACAGAAAAAUUAAAAACAAACAGGAAAUCCUUUGUUUUAGUUCUCAAGGGCACAAAUGCUAAUAUUUUGGGGUGGGUUGGCAAUGGAAUCUGCCUAGUAUGAAAACAUCACAUGAGAAGGGCCAGGAGGCAGAGCUUAAAAUGGAAGGAAUUUUGACAAGUCUGGUCAAUUUGUUUUUAAGUAUCUAAAUUCACUGUUGAGGAACUCAGAAGGUAGGCAGAAUUUCCUUGCCUGACAAAUGAGAUGGCAAACAAACACCUGCUAUAUGACUAUGACAUCCAUUCAAAAGCUAUUAUUCUUCAAGGAGGUGGGAUUCUGGGAGUUUCUGCUUGCUGGGCUGAGGAACUAUUGGCCAUGGGGGUGUAUUUUUUAUGUCUUGUCAGGUGGGGGUGCAAAGGAUAUGAAGCUAUAUUUUCCCCUGGGGGGAGGAAAUGCAGGCCCCCAAUUCAUCACCACCAUUAUUACCAUUGUAACUUCAAAGCAAACAUUCAUCAUAAGUUUGUUUGCUGGAAGUAAACAGCAACUCUUCUGUGGAAGGCAAGGUGGUGGCACCAUCCUUCCCUGAUGAAGAGAACACUGGAUCUAACCCUUUGUCUACUAUCAGUAGACUGCUGUUUUGGAAGGAGAAUGUACCACUGAGAAGUCAGCAAGAAAUUCAACUAACUUGCACCAACAGAAGAUAAAACCUAUCCACUCUUAAGGAAAUCAGCCCUGAGUGCUCACUGGAAGGACAGAUCCUGAAGCUGAGACUCCAAUACUCAUGAGAAUACGCCACCUCAUGAGAAGAGAAGACUCCCUGGAAAAGACCCUGAUGUUGGGAAAGAUGGAGGGCACAAGGAGAAGGACGACAAAGGACGAGAUGGUUGAUAGUGUUCUCAAAGCUACCAACAUGAGUUUGACCAAACUGCGGGAGGCAGUGGAAGACAGGAGUGCCUGGCGUGCUCUGGUCCAUGGGGUCACGAAGAGUCGGACACGAUUAAACAACAACAACAACAGCAAACCUGCACAGCCUCAAAUUUCAUCAUACCCAGGGGUCUACAAUGUUUGGCCAUACAUGGAAGUUCCAGUGUUCCUGUCUUAAAUCUUAGGAGUGGCUGGAGUACUUCUUCAUUAUAGAAAAAAAUCCUGUUGCAAACUCUGACUCAGCAUUUGUAAAUGCAGGAGACUCUGAAGGGAAGCAGGCAAAUGUUUUCCAGGCACACAAAGUAAAUUACCCAUAAAAGUGCAAUGGAUAAUUUUCAGAAGCAACAAAAGCGAGGAUCAACAGGAGAAACUAUUCAGAGGAAAAAAUGUGUAGCCAAGUGGUGGAAAAUAACAGAUACUAUGUGAAAUGUAUUGCUGGAGUAACUCAGUUUGCAGUGGUCAAUCAGUUGUCUUUCAGGGGUGAUUCAGGGUAUGAACAAUUAGGAGUAGAUGCAGGUGGUUAGCUGAAUUUUCUAUGAGAAAAUAUUUUUAAAAUUGCAACAAAUUGUGAAAAUGAUUCCUGCAAGUGCUAAAUAUACUAGCCCUGAAAUCCAAAAUGAAAUCCACAGCACAACUCAAACAGUUGUAGAUUUUUUUCUGGAGCAAAUGGUUUAAAGUACUUGUGUUGUGUUGUUGGUUGAUGAGACUAGGGACAAACAAGGCGUUGAAGAUACAGGGUUAUUCCUGAUUUUUUAACAACCUUUUUUUGUGUUAAUUGUUGGCAAGAUAAUUAAGAAUUGUUGAAGUUGCUUAGUGAAAAUGUUUGAAUGUGCCUAAGUUGCAGGACAACUCCAAAAAUAAGGGUUAAUGAAAAACAUUUCACAGUUUUGUCUUUAAAAGGACCUGCCAGAUUUUGAUGUGUUUUUAAUCUUUGUUGGAAGCCACCCAGAGUGGCUGGGGAAACCCAGCCAGAUGGGCAGGGUACAAAUUAUAAAUUAUUAUUAUUAUUAUUAUUAUUAUUAUUAUUAUUAUUAUUAACUGUCCCCUUAAACUGCUCCAUUACUUUUUGUCCAUCCCUUCCCCCGCCCCCAAACUUUUAAACUGGCUUCAAGCCCAGUCCUGCACCAGGAUGUUCCCAAUAGACCGUGCCAAAAAUGUACUUGGAUAUUCUGUUACGUUAUAUUGAAAAAGGAGAAACAGUCGUGUGUUAGUAACUAGAUGAUAAGAUGCAAUGUUGAGAUAAUACAAAGGGGUGUGAAGCAGUGGUACAUAUUAUACUUUUGUGGACUCAUCCUUCCAACACAGUGUUUCCCAAACUUCCAGUAGCUAAGAGCAGGAUCCAUUAUGGAGAUGUGGCAGAAUCACCUACCACCAGCAGAUAGGUGCAAGCCCAGAGCAGCAUAAUCACUCAGGGAGGCAGCGGACAGCUUCCUCUGGGGUUGGAUGCUUUGGGAGUGAUUUCUUUCUUGCAGUUUGGGAGUUCUCGAUCUCAUGAAUGGAUGCCUAACUUGCUAUCGCUGAACAAUGCUGUUUGACAAUGCUGCUGCACAAGCCAGCUGGUCUGUUAAAAGUAAAUGUCAGAAAUAAUCUUUUCCAGCCAUCAGGGCAGGAAGUGUGCCAUUGUUCUGCUAUCCUGGCCAGCUAAAGCCCUUUUUUUUUCAGAGAAGUGGUUUAAAGUUAUUUGUUGCUAGAUGAAACUGCUGACCCACACUUGUGUCCCUAGGGGUAUGAAUAACAAACUAUUCAUCAAGUAUUGUCCUGGUCAGCUUUACUGUAGGAAAAUGUUUGAGGAGGCGGUGAUGGCUGGCAGCCUAGAAACCCACAUCACUCUCCAAACAGGGCUGCUAGCCAUGGCCAUAGGCAGGCCCCUCUCCAUAUAUCUCUGGAAUGGCAAGUAGGGGCUGGAUUUGGCCCUGGGUGUUAGUUUAUUAAUAUAUGGCCUGGGGUUCCACUGAAAAAUGAUUGCCUCUUAAUUCCUUUCCACCAAACAACAGAAUAAACACCUGGUUGAUAGAACUGGAAGGCAUCCAACAGGACGUUUAGUUGAUCCCAUGCUCCGAGGCAAAACAUCCUCUACUUAAAAGCAUCCCUCGUAAAUAUUUGUCCAACCAUACUGAAAACCUCUCAGUUUAUUUCAGGGCUGAACCACUCCUAAAAGCAGGAAGCUUUAAGUGACAUUUCAUUUAAAUCUGACCUCCUUCCGCUGAUUUUCUUGCCUUAUCCACUGGAGUUGACCUUUUUCCUUUUUCACCUAUUAUUUGCAAACUGUCAACAUACAUCCAACAUUCAUAUUCUUUCUCUUGUCUGAACAUGCCCAGUUACUCCAUCCCUUCUCAGUGUAGUUUGCUGUUUUAUCACCAAGCAGGUCUCCAGGACUUGACCUCUGCAGCAUACGUCCCCCAGCCAUCUUCUCCAGUGCCAUCCCCUCUCACCUUUAGAGAUGGACUGACACAAAGAAAUGGAGCAUGCGCAUGAUCUAAGACAGGAGGGAGGGCCACAUGUCUCUGCACAGAGGGACGCAUACGGCACACCCCACCCAAACAGUCCAAACACAUGCCCACACUGCAUAUCAACAACUCACAAAUUCACACACUUUGCAUGGAAACACACCAAACUCUCACACUCCUGCCCUCUCAGGCACUCAAAUGCAGGCACACACACAUAGCUCUCUGUCGCACGUGCGCGCUCCCUCCACCUGUGAAGUCUGCAAUUGGUUAAGAAUAAAAUACAUAUUUUCUCCCCACUCCCUGCCUCCAAUCACAGUGCUGCAAUGGGGAGGUAUGCACCUGCUAAAGAUAAAGGUAAAGGGACCCCUGACCAUUAGGUCCAGUCGUGACUGACUCUGGGGUUGCGGCGCUCUUCUCGCUUUAUUGGCCGAGGGAGCCAGCGUACAGCUUCCAGGUCAUGUGGCCAGCAUGACUAAGCUGCUUCUGGCGAAACCAGAGCAGCGCACGGAAACUCCAUUUACCUUCCCGCUGCAGCGGUACCUGUUUAUCUACUUGCACUUGACGUGCUUUCGAACUGCUAGGUUGGCAGGAGCAGGGACCGAGCAACGGGAGCUCACCCUGUCGCGGGGAUUCAAACCGCCGACCUUCUGAUCGGCAAGUCCUAGGCUCUGUGGUUUAACCCACAGCGAUACUGGCCAUCAAAUUGUGGACUUAAUUAGAGACCCAACAAGACAUUCAGCAUUGCAAAGGGGCCAUAGCUCAGUGGCAGAGCAUGUGCCUUGCAUGCAAAAGGCCCCAGGUUCAAUCCCAGGGGCAGCAUCCCCUGGUGGGGUUGUGAAUCUUCCCUGCCUGAAACUUGAAGAGCUUCUGCCAGUCAGUUUAGACAAGGGUGGGCUAGAUGGACCAGUGGUCUGACUCAGUAUACGGCAGCUUCCUGUGUUCCUAACACAAUCACACACUGUUGCUGUACAAUCUCUAUGCCUGUUAGAAAUAUGGUGGUGGUAAUUCAAUGCAUUAUGUCUAGGGCGGUACUUUGAUUGUGGUGGUCUGAAUCCCAAGUGACCUUCCUUCCUUCCCAUGUUAGCCAGAUCAGGGAGCAGACAGGGGAUGUAUUUGUACUAAAGAAGAACAAUGUCCUGAACACAUGUAUUGUUCUCAUUUUGUAAGACACAGUGAUUCAGAUGUCUCGAGUCUUGGUUAUUUUGCUGGUUUCCAUCAUGAAACCAUUAGCAAAAAGGAAGUCUUUUGCAAAACCACAAAAAUGCAGUUUCCAACCUGAUGUGUCUGGGAAAGUAAUUUGCAUGACUUUUGAACUUCAGAAGGAGCCAAGUGCAUUCUGUUUGGCUGACUGAGAUAUGGUUACAUUUUAUUAAAUGCCAGCAGUGGUCUUGAUGCUGUUUGGGAUGUGACAGGAACAUGGAAAACUGGUGGCCCCAAAUAUGCCGCUUGAGAGAGACAGUGCUUCCUGGACCCAAUACAAGAGCAUCGUUGCCCCACCUCACACUCCCUUGCUGCAUCAAAAUGAUGUUCCCAGUAAGCCUCUACUUAUCACACACCUGCUCCUCCUAAGUGCAGGAAGCCCUUUCUCCAUUCCCCUCAGUCAGAGAGAGAGGAGAGAGGCUUUGUUGGUGGCAUGGGAGUCCUGGAAAUGUUAGGCCCAUGGGCAUAGCCAAGUGGGGCAGGCAGAGGCAGCUGUCCCCCC